rnacentral:rRNA from 1 species
AUUGAACGCUGGCGGAAUGCUUUACACAUGCAAGUCGAACGGCAGCACGGACUUCGGUCUGGUGGCGAGUGGCGAACGGGUGAGUAAUAUAUCGGAACGUGCCCAGUCGUGGGGGAUAACGUAGCGAAAGUUACGCUAAUACCGCAUACGAUCUACGGAUGAAAGCGGGGGACCGUAAGGCCUCGCGCGAUUGGAGCGGCCGAUGUUAGAUUAGGUAGUUGGUGGGGUAAAGGCUCACCAAGCCGACGAUCUAUAGCUGGUCUGAGAGGAUGAUCAGCCACACUGGGACUGAGACACGGCCCAGACUCCUACGGGAGGCAGCAGUGGGGAAUUUUGGACAAUGGGCGCAAGCCUGAUCCAGCCAUUCCGCGUGCAGGACGAAGGCCUUCGGGUUGUAAACUGCUUUUGUACAGAACGAAAAGCUCUGGGUUAAUACCCUGGGGUCAUGACGGUACUGUAAGAAUAAGCACCGGCUAACUACGUGAAG